GCUCUGUCUCGCGAUUGGAAUGAGAACAAUGUAAAAGCCUUAACGAGGAUCCACUGGAGGGCAAGUCUGGUGCCAGCAGCCGCGGUAAUACCAGCUCCAGUAGCGUAUAUUAAAGUUGUUGCAGUUAAAAAGCUCAUAGUUGAAAUUCUGUACGGAACGACGUCUUCGGAUGAUCGAGCCGUGCAUCCGCCUGAGCAGCAGGUCGGUACUUUGUUGCCGGUUUGUGAUCAGGCACUUUACCUUGAGCAAAUUAGAGUGUUCCAGGCAGGCGUCAGCCUGAAUAGUCCAGCAUGGAAUAAUAGAAGAGGACUGAAAACCACUGUUGGUGUUGUGGUAAUCAGUAAUGAUUAAUAGGGAUAGUUGGGGGCAUUCGUAUUUAAUUGUCAGAGGUGAAGUUCUAUGAUUUAUUAAAGACGAACCUAUGCGAAAGCAUUUGCCAAGGAUGUUUUCAUUAAUCAAGAACGAAAGUUAAGGGAUCAAAGACGAUCAGAUACCGUCGUAGUCUUAACCAUAAACUAUGCCGACUAGAGAUUGGAGGUGCAACUCCAAGACUCCUUCAGCAUCUUACGAGAAAUCAGAGUCUUUGGGUUCUGGGGGGAGUAUGGUCGCAAGACUGAAACUUAAAGGAAUUGACGGAAGGGCACCACCAGGUGUGGAGCCUGCGGCUUAAUUUGACCCAACACGGGGAAACUUACCAGGUCCAGACAUAGCGAGGAUUGACAGACGGACAGCUCUUUCUUGAUUCUAUGGGUGGUGGUGCAUGGCCGUUCUUAGUUGGUGGAGUGAUUUGUCUGGUUAAUUCCGAUAACGAACGAGACCUCAGCCUGCUAAAUAGUCAGAGUCCGAUUGGGCUUGUGACUUCUUAGAGGGACUGUGGGGGCUACUCCACGGAAGUUUGAGGCAAUAACAGGUCUGUGAUGCCCUUAGAUGUCCUGGGCCGCACGCGCGCUACACUGAUGCAGGCAGCAAGCACCGUGGCAGAAAUGUCUCGGAAAACUACAAACUGCAUCGUGCUGGGGAUUGACUCUUGGAAUUCUUGGUCAUAAACGAGGAAUACCUAGUAAACGCAAGUCAUCAGCUUGCAUUGAUUACGUCCCUGCCCUUUGUACACACCGCCCGUCGCUCCUACCGAUUUGAGUGGUGCGGUGAACCCUUCGGACCGGUACGCCGGAAAGUUGAGUAAACCUUACCACUUAGAGGAAGGAGAAGUCGUAACAAGGUA
rnacentral:rRNA from 1 species